GUGCCAGCAGCCGCGGUAAUACGGAGGAUCCAAGCGUUGUCCGGAUUUAUUGGGUUUAAAGGGUGCGUAGGCGGAUCUUUAAGUCAGUGGUGAAAGCCUGCAGCUCAACUGUAGAACAGCCAUUGAAACUGAAGAUCUUGAAUAUGGUUAAAGUAGGCGGAAUGUAUCAUGUAGCGGUGAAAUGCUUAGAUAUGAUACAGAACACCGAUAGCGAAGGCAGCUUGCUGAACCAUUAUUGACGCUGAGGCACGAAAGCGUGGGGAGCAAACAGGAUUAGAAACCCCCGUAGUCC
rnacentral:rRNA from 1 species